rnacentral:rRNA from 1 species
UACGUAGGUGGCAAGCGUUGUCCGGAUUUAUUGGGUUUAAAGGGUGCGUAGGCGGCUUAUUAAGUCAGUGGUGAAAUACUCUAGCUCAACUAGAGGGGUGCCAUUGAUACUGAUGAGCUUGAGUACAGAUGAGGUAGGCGGAAUUGACGGUGUAGCGGUGAAAUGCUUAGAUAUCGGAAGGAACAUCAGUGGCGAAAGCGACUUCCUGGACCAGUACCGACGUUCAGGCACGAAAGCGUGGGGAGCAAACAGG